GACGAACGCUGGCGGCGUGCUUAACACAUGCAAGUCGAACGGAAAGGCCUCUUUCGGGGGGUACUCGAGUGGCGAACGGGUGAGUAACACGUGAGUAACCUGCCCUUGACUUUGGGAUAACUUCAGGAAACUGGGGCUAAUACCGGAUAGGAGCUCCUGCUGCAUGGUGGGGGUUGGAAAGUUUCGGCGGUUGGGGAUGGACUCGCGGCUUAUCAGCUUGUUGGUGGGGUAGUGGCUUACCAAGGCUUUGACGGGUAGCCGGCCUGAGAGGGUGACCGGCAACAUGGGACUGAGAUACGGCCCAGACUCCUACGGGAGGCAGCAGUGGGGAAUAUUGCACAAUGGGUGGAAGCCUGAUGCAGCAACGCCGUGUGCGGGAUGACGGCCUUCGGGUUGUAAACCGCUUUCGCUCAUGACGAAGCUUUGUGUGACGGUAGUGGGUAAAGAAGCACCGGCUAACUACGU
rnacentral:rRNA from 1 species